rnacentral:misc_RNA from 1 species
UUAAAACAAUGCUGUGCUUAAAUUAAGCAGAAUAAUAAGAUUAGUACAAAUCUCUGAUAAUUAGCCGUUAAAGAGUCGUAAUUUACAAGAGAAUACUUUCUCACACCCUUGCUUUGCUUUCUCUUCAACUCGGGAUGACUCGGUCACCAAAAAAGCCCCAACCCAACUCGCCAUCUCCAUAAAAUUAAAAAAAAAUAAUAAUAAAACUACAGCUUGCCCAAUCUAAGCCAAAAAAUAUAAUAAUAAUAAUAAUGAUACCUUAAAUUUAAAAAAAAAAGGAAAAAAUAUGUAAUAUAGUUAGUCCCAAGCUACCUAACCAUGAAGCAACGGCCUUGAUUCACCCAAUAGCUCAAGAUUAUUCCUCAUGCCAACGUGGCAGCAUCUCUGAACCUCCUCAAGAUUAGAGAAGGGGGCCGAGAUGGACGAGUCGGAUCGGGACACGACUCGGAGAAUCUCCUCAAACACAGACUCGUCACAAGGGAUCGUUAGCGGUCCGAUGUUCUUGAAACCGUACUCUUCCUCGGCUUGUACGAGGAGCAUCUUGAAGAUGGGGUGGUUCAGGUACGUCGCCCGCACGAUGAACCUCUUGCUACUAUCCCCUACGAUGACUGCAACGUGUCCAGAAGGGACAUCGGACGGUGCGUGUGAUGCCGCCAGCCUCGCCUUCCUGCGCCAGCGCUUUAGCAUUUGCUGGAUUCUAACAAUGUGACGGAUUUUGUUGGAUUUAGACAUUUUCCCGGAAAGUGAAAAGGAAGAGAAAAAAGAGCAAGAACAAUUUUAAUGGGUUAGUGGGACUGUGGGAGUG